AGUCAACAUUUUUUGUUUAUUACUGUCAUUUGACUGUUAGGGGUCAGUAGGAUUGUUGCAGCUUACAUUUUUAUACCAGAAUACAGCCGACCUACCACAUGUAAGAACAACUGCAUACGGCCUACAAUCUUUAAGGUAU